GCCGGGGUGGUGUAAGUGGAGAACAUGCCUUGUGAUAAACGAGACGAUCUGGGUUCGAAUCCCAGCUCUGGCA